UUAGUGGGAAUCUUGUGGCAUGGUUGAAAUCUUUGAUUGCUUGAAUGGGGAAACUUAAACAAGAAGGUUGCAAUUUGAUUGAGGGAUUUAAUGUAUGGACUGACGUCUACUUACUACCAACCUCCAACACAGCCUUCGCUGUAUCAGAAAGCAGAACCUCAAUCUUUCCAUGGCUCACACCUCCAAGUCUUCCAAUUCCUCCACCACCAAGCCCACCACCAGCAAAAUAGACCAUGGGCAAAAACACAAGGAAGUUGUAACUCAUCACACCUACUACAAGUCUUCCAACUCCUCCACCACUAAGCCCACCACCAAGCCCACCACCAACAAAAUAGACCAUGGUCAAAAACACAAGGAAGUUGUAACUCACCAUAAAAAACACAAGGAAGUUGUAACUCACCACCACCAUCAUCAUCAGCCUCAUCACCACCAUCAUCAUCAGCCUCAUCACCAUCAACAAAAUCUUAAACUAGCCGCGGCCACCAGCACCUCCACCACCACCGAGGUCACCAUCGAGUACGGAAAAGGAAUGAAAGUCGAAGUGACAAAGAAAGAAACAGUUUCCAAAGUUGUGAAAUUUGCUUAUACCAAGUAAUUCCUUGCAAGUUCCCAGUCUAUAAAGAAGUUUGCUGCUGCAGAUGUGAAGAUAUCCAUACUGGGUUCAUCAGAACUUGAAUAUGUCAGAAGAAUUAUGCCUAAUUUUUUUCUUUUUUUGGUUGCAUUACUUGGUUACAAAGUAAUAUCUUUAUUACAAUAGUGGUUCCAAUCGAUGUUUUUACUUUUUAGUCUUGUGUUGGUUGAAUAUCGGUCCAUUGUCGUUUAUAUUAUGGCUGAAUCAAUUUGAUCUGUCGGUUAAACC